rnacentral:rRNA from 1 species
AAUGAACGUUGGCGGCGUGGAUUAGACAUGCAAGUCGAGCGAGAACCCCGCAAGGGGGGACAGCGGCGAAAGGGACAGUAAUGUGUAGUUUAUCUGCCCUCAGGUCCGUGAUAGCUGCGGGAAACUGCAGGCAAUACCGGAUAACAUCUCCGGAUCAAAGGUGUGAUUCCGCCUGAGGAUGAGUCUGCGUCGUAUUAGCUAGUUGGGGAGGUAAUGGCCUACCAAGGCAUCGAUGUGUAGCAGAUGUGAGAGCAUGACCGGCCUCAUUGGAACUGAGACACGGGCCAGGCGCCUAAGGGAGGCAGCAGUAGGGAAUCUGACGCAAUGGGGGAAAGCCUGACGGAGCAACGCCGCGUGAGUGAUGAAGGUCUUCGGAUCGUAAAACGUUGUUAUUAGGGAAGAACAAAUGUGGAAGUAACUAUGCACGUCUUGACGGUAACUAAUCAGAAAGCCACGGCUAACUACGUG